rnacentral:rRNA from 1 species
UACAGAGGUCUCAAGCGUUGUUCGGAUUCAUUGGCGUAAAGGGUGCGUAGGCGGCGCGGUAAGUCGGGUGUGAAAUCUCGGGGCUUAACUCCGAAACUGCAUUCGAUACUGCCGUGCUUGAGGACUGGAGAGGAGACUGGAAUUUACGGUGUAGCGGUGAAAUGCGUAGAUAUCGUAAGGAAGACCAGUGGCGAAGGCGGGUCUCUGGACAGUUCCUGACACUGAGACACGAAGGCCAGGGGAGCAAACGGG